UACGUAGGGUGCAAGCGUUAAUCGGAAUUACUGGGCGUAAAGCGUGCGCAGGCGGCUUUGCAAGACAGAUGUGAAAUCCCCGGGCUUAACCUGGGAACUGCAUUUGUGACUGCAUCGCUAGAGUACGGCAGAGGGGGAUGGAAUUCCGCGUGUAGCAGUGAAAUGCGUAGAUAUGCGGAGGAACACCGAUGGCGAAGGCAAUCCCCUGGGCCUGUACUGACGCUCAUGCACGAAAGCGUGGGGAGCAAACAGG
rnacentral:rRNA from 1 species